UCCCUCUCUCCUCCCCCACUCUCUCCCUCCCUCCCUCUCACCCUCCCUCUCCUGCUCUGAUUUCCUGAACCAGCGCAAAGACAGUGAUCUCCGUCAACCUUGAUCUUGGAGACCUAUGAAGAGUCUUGUGGGGAUGCAAACUCGAGGAGGCUAAAACCGUCGGAGGCGACACAGUCAGGUCACCGGAGUGAAACGAUGGAGUCUCUCCUCUCUCUCCUCCAUCCAAGGGUAGAACAGGUUGGAGAUAAUACAGUCAGGUCCUUGGCCGCGACUGCCACUCAUUGGCUCUGUUCACAGUGACAUGCAUAUGCAGAACUCGACGGUUACGGUCACCGUGGCAUGCUCAUGAAGAAUUCGUGUGGGAAUGAUGACGUAGAAGGAGGAGGAGAUGAAGAAGAGAGGCAAUAAUGAUGGGUUUAGCUUGAAUCUGCAGCCCAGUCGUGAGGGAGGUCGUGUUUUUUAGCAUCUGUCCUGUUUCCCUCCAUCACUCUCCCCCUCCUCCUCUUUCCACCUCUGUUUUUUUAUUCAAAAAACAGAGAUAAACAGAGAGUCGUGAGGAAGGCUUCCUUGCACUUCGUGUUCCUAGUACCAAGAGCCUGGAGUUCUACUGUGGCUUGGCUUUACACUGCAAGUGUUUGCAAACCAGUUAAUGGGAAACGAAGCUGAUUUUGGAAGAGGAAGGCCGAGAGAGGGUAGUCCCCACCUAUGCCGAACCCCAGCCAGAAGCGGAUGAAGCAAUGUAUGGCCAUGACAUUUUUUUCGUUCAUUACCAAGAGAUAAUUAACAAGGCAUUUAAAAAUAUACAAAUCGAGCACAAAAUAAUUGGUCAGGGCAAUCUUUUCAAAACUACGCAUCGACUCAUUAAAUACAAAUCGAGCAAACUCUUGCAAAUAUACAAAGCAAACAACACAAGCAUCGACUCUAGCGUACAGCAUGGUUGCUUUGUGCAUAUGAAAAGAUCAGACGACUAACCUGGUCAUUUCUUCCUUGUACCAGCUAGCUGAACCUAGCAUGCAUGUUUUAACAUUCAGGAUUUUAAUUUCCGGAUUAAAUAAAUUAACAGGGUUAAAUAAAUGAAAUUGAGUAUUUAAUGAUUUGUUGAAGGUCAGUGACAGCUAACGGUCCUAUUUAUACUGGUUACAGCUCUUGGAUUUAGUCUUGAGGUGUUUUAAGCCACCUAAGCGUAAAACGGAAGAGCAGAUGGAUUAGGCCCCGUCAUCCGUCAUGAUGGAUGGUCAAAAUUGUAAAUAAUCAGUACAUGAGUUGCGAACAACAAAAAAGAAGAGGAAAUGAGAAAUAAAGAAGCAGUGAAGGAAGAGGCAUUGUUUUUGCUAGGGCCUCAUCUUCUAAACAUUUUGAAGGCACUAGCUCCAAAAAAGAGAUUGGAAAAGUACUUGAGGCAAAGGCAUAGGAACUUGUGAUUCCUACUGUAUGCCUCUUUUUGUUGAUAUUAUUUUAUGCAUAAUUGAUGAUGAAGAUUGCUAAUUAACUAGAACAAUUAUUGUUUACUUGCUAUUAUAUGUUGAUGACAUGAUUAUCAUAAGUAAUGAUGAUAUGGGAGUUGAUGAGCUCAAGACAUACUUCUGCCAGUAAUUUGAAAUGAAGGAUUUUGACAAAUUGAACUAUUUUCUUGGGCUCGAGGUAUCAUGAGAGUGAUGGUAUAUCUCUCUUUCAAGUCAAGUAUGCUACUAAUUUGAUAUCCUAAGCUCACCUUUUGGAUGAUGUGGUUGAAACUACUCAUAUCGAACCAAAUGUUCACUACACUUCUACUGAUGACACCUUAUUGGAUAAUCUUAUCUGUUAUCACUAGCUAAUUGGGGGCCUUAUCUAUCUUGCUGCCACCCUUCCUAACAUUGCUUAUGUAGUUUGUGUUGUCAACCAGUUUAUAUCUGAGCCUCACACAACUCAUUAUGUAGCAAUUCUUCAGAUCAUUCGAGAUAUUAGAGGCCUCUAUAUGAUGGGCUUUACUUCUCUGCUAGCUCCUCUUUUGCGCUACAAACUUACUCUAAUGCCGAUUGGGGUGGUGAUCGAGUUGAUCGAUGAUCUAUAAUAGGUUUCUGUAUUUUUCUUGGUCAUUCCCUUAUUUCUUGGAGAAGUAAAAAGCAAAUAUUAACCUCUUACUCUGAUGCUGAAUUGGAAUAUCAUGUACUAGAAAACACUAUCGUCGAGGUACUUUGGCUUUAUUAGUUACUUGAUAAAUUGAGAGCAUCUCAGAGCUUCUUCACAAAUAUUUAUUGUGAUAGUCAACUUGCAAUCAAGAUUGUUCAAAAUGAUGUGUUUCAUGAGCAGAUCAAACACAUUGAGAUUGACUGUCACUUUACUCGGUAGCAUAUUGUUCGAGGCACCAUUCAACUUAUUCCAAUUCGAACCAAGUAUCAAUCAGCGGAUUUGUUUACAAAAUCUUUUCAUCCAGGCAGCUUUCAAUUUCUAGUAAACAAACUUAAGUGAC